GUUAAUUUCACCAUAGGUCUAAGAACAGAGAAGAGUCUUGAUGCGUGUCUUUCCUGUACCCUGAGAAAUGCUGGGAUCAGUUGGCCAAGUGCUAUAGGAUUGGAGGGACCAUGGUGCAGUGCGGGGUGUGAUAAGUGCUUUAAGGCUGAACUCAGAGCAGUAACAAGUCGGGGAAAAAUCCAUAAACAAGAGACACCCAAGCAGAAGCACAAGUUAUUUCUGGGUGGGCAGGACACAAUGCGGAAUAUCUACCAUGGUGGAAACAUAACAUGCUUGGAAGUGUCUAAGAAUUUUCCAUAAACAACAUACCUAUAUAUCUACAAAAUCCACUUGAGCUGGGUUUGCACGGAGUUGCUGAAAUGAAAGUAAGCAGUCAUGGCCCAAAGAGCAGAGAGAUUGCAACUCUCUCACUCCCUCUCUCUCAGCAGGGGGCUGUGGGUGGCAGCAGAGCGUCGGGUCUCUGGUGAGAAUUGAUUUCCAUUGUUCCUCCCCAGCCCCCCAAAGCCCAUGGCAGCAGAAGGCUCAGGUCACAUCCCAGCCUGCCCAAGCAAGAUAACAACAAAUGAAAGAGAGCAAGUCACCUGGAACUGCACAAAAAUGGGUGAUAUUAGCUCAAAUUGACCAGCUCUAUUUCAGAGCUCAGCCUGUAUGAGACACAGUUAAUACACGAAGUUCACGGUAGUGUUUUUUUUUUUUUUAUAGUAAGUUGCUCUAUGUUACUGCUCGAUCCUCUCUCUCUAACCUUCUCUAUCUCUCUCUCUGAGGUAUUCCAUCUGAUUAUGAGUACUUUGCAAUCUACGACAGUUUGAUUGAUGCUCCUCCUCCAUGAGCAGAAUUUUGAGCAGCGCUUCCUCUGAACGCCCAGUUACGCUCCUGCAAAGCUGGUAACCUUGAAUUUAUGUUGCCACGGCAACAGAACAGGUCAUGCAUUAUGGAUUAUCAUUGAAAUUCUACACCACCUACCUAACAUAAUAAUGGAGGCUUGGGAGUUAAUCAAAUCAGCCGUUCUCUGGAUGUGUGUCUGUGUCUGAGUGUGUGUCUGUAUGUGUGUGUUUGUGUCUGCAUAGAAGCCUUUCAUCAUCUGUAUGUAUGUGGAUACAUGUGCACAUGUUCAUCAGAGAGGUGCAGGAGGUGUGUCGUGCAUUCGAUCCAAAUGGUGCAUGACCUAAGCUGGGUUGCCCAUGUGGGACAACUGAACUGCACUGAACAGACCCCGAAAGAUGGAAUACCGUGUCAAUUUGGCAGUAGUGAUGUCUUCUAAUCAUGAUAUACAUAAUCUUGAGACGUGUACGUGUAUGAUUAUGUCUGGGAAAUUUACAAGCAAUGUAUUUACUCUUCUCUUCACUCUACUACUCACUACUCCUGAGGGGCUUUUCAACAAUAUAUCAUAAUGCACUGUAUAUUAGUGCAUUAGCAUAUAAAUAUAUACGAAGCAAUUCCCAGUGUCAGAAUGUUGGUGAAGACAUAAAUAUGCCAAUUUAUAGGGUGCAUACACUGUAUGUGGAACUUUUUUCUCAUAUACAUAUAUACCUUCAUUUA